UACGUAGGGGGCAAGCGUUGUCCGGAAUCAUUGGGCGUAAAGAGCGUGUAGGCGGUUCGAUAAGUCUGCUGUGAAAGUCCAGGGCUCAACCCUGGGAUGCCGGUGGAUACUGUCGGGCUAGAGUACGGAAGAGGCGAGUGGAAUUCCCGGUGUAGCGGUGAAAUGCGCAGAUAUCGGGAGGAACACCGGUGGCGAAGGCGGCUUUCUGGGCCUUACCUGACGCUGAGGAGCGAAAGCUGGGGGAGCGAACAGG
rnacentral:rRNA from 1 species